rnacentral:rRNA from 1 species
AGUAACCUUUUAGGAGCUAGCCGUCGAAGGUGGGACAAAUGAUUGGGGUGAAGUCGUAACAAGGUAGCCGUAUCGGAAGGUGCGGCUGGAUCACCUCCUUUAUAAGGA